UUUUUUACUUUUUCUUUCCCUUAUUUUCUUCUUAUGUCUCCUUCAAUUUUCAUGCACGAUCAAUGAGAAUUGUGCAACUAUAGUGGCAUGUAGGCAGUGCAACUGUUGUUGUGCUUGGGCGCCGGAUGUUGCACUAAACUGAUAGUCGUGCAACUUUAGUUGUGUAUGGAUGAUGGCAAUAUUGUUUCACGUUGGCGGCAGACAAGCGGUUGCACGUGGCCGAAUGGGUUGCAACUGUAAUUGCACGUAUGAGACGAAC
rnacentral:lncRNA from 1 species